AACGAACGCUGGCGGCAGGCUUAACACAUGCAAGUCGAACGCCCGCAAGGGGAGUGGCAGACGGGUGAGUAACGCGUGGGAACGUGCCCUUCGCUUCGGAAUAGCCCCGGGAAACUGGGAGUAAUACCGGAUACGCCGUAUUGGGAAAGAUUUAUCGGCGAAGGAUCGGCCCGCGUUAGAUUAGCUAGUUGGCGGUGUAAUGGACCACCAAGGCUACGAUCUAUAGCUGGUCUGAGAGGAUGAUCAGCCACACUGGGACUGAGACACGGCCCAGACUCCUACGGGAGGCAGCAGUGGGGAAGUCUUGGACAAUGGCGGCAAGCCUGAUCCAGCCAUGCCGCGUGAGUGAAGAAGGACCUUAGGGUUGGUUAAAACUACUUUCGUCCGGAGGAAGGAAUAAUAGACGGUAGU
rnacentral:rRNA from 1 species